rnacentral:misc_RNA from 1 species
GAUGAAGAACGUAGCGAAAUGCGAUAAGUAAUGUGAAUUGCAGAAUUCAGUGAAUCAUCGAAUCUUUGAACGCACAUUGCGCCCGCUAGUAUUCUGGCGGGCAUGCCUGUCCGAGCGUCAUUUCAACCCUCAAGCCCCCGGGCUUGGUGUUGGGGAUCGGCGAGCCUCCGCGCCCGCCGUCCCCUAAAUCUAGUGGCGGUCUCGCUGUAGUCCUCCUCUGCGUAGUAGCACAACCUCGCAGUUGGAACGCGGCGGUGGCCAUGCCGUUAAACACCCCACUUCUGAAAGUUGACCUCGGAUCAGGUAGGAAUACCCGCUGAACUUAAGCAUAUCAAUAAGCGGAGGA